rnacentral:lncRNA from 1 species
CUACCAGAAAGCAAUUAUGUUAAAAAACUCUUGUCAUAAAAUAAUAAGACAAUCAUAAAUUCUGUUCCUACAUAAUCAUCACUAUCAUCAUCAUCUACCUUUAAGGUUUUAUGGCACUAACAUUCUUCUCACUAAUCUACCUAAAAACCUGACCUCACAGAUCUCAACUCUUACAUAUUUAACAAACAGGAGCUGAUGGAUCAACUGGGUAAAUCAAUAGAUCGGAAGUAAAUACCGAAGUCAAGUGUCCUCCAAAGAAAUUUUCCUGCUACCAGCCCCAGCAGGUUUUAAGGAUAUUUCUGCUAAUGCUGUGUGUCUCACAAUUUCCCUGUGAUUUGCCUGUGAAAAUUUCAUCGCAUGACUGUAACGGGCAUCACGAUCCGGUACACGACGGAAGGCUGGCUCUGAUGAUGGCGAUAUGA